GACGUAGGGCGCGAGCGUUGUCCGGAUUUAUUGGGCGUAAAGAGCUCGUAGGCGGCUUGUUGCGUCGACCGUGAAAACCUGCAGCUUAACUGUGGGCGUGCGGUCGAUACGGGCAUCACUGGAGUUCGGCAGGGGAGACUGGAAUUCCUGGUGUAGCGGUGAAAUGCGCAGAUAUCAGGAGGAACACCGGUGGCGAAGGCGGGUCUCUGGGCCGAUACUGACGCUGAGGAGCGAAAGCGUGGGGAGCAAACAGG
rnacentral:rRNA from 1 species